GUGCUUGCUUCAGCAGCACAUCUACUAAAAUUUAACAAUACAGAGAUUAGCAUGGCCCCUGUGCAACGAUGACACAUAAAUUCGUGAAGCAUUCCAGAUUUAA